GUAAGCUAUCGCUGAGGGAUGGGCCUGCGGGCCAUUAGCUUGUUGGUGAGGUAACGGCUCACCAAGGCUGUGAUGGCUAGCUGGUCUGAGAGGAUGACCAGGCCACACUGGGACUGAGACACGGCCCAGACUCCUACGGGAGGCAGCAGUGGGGAAUAUUGCGCAAUGGGCGAAAGCCUGACGCAGCGACGCCGCGUGGGUGAUGAAGGCCUUCGGGUCGUAAAGCCCUGUCGCAGGGGAAGAAUAAGCAUCGGUAUAAUACGCCGGUGCCCUGACGGUACCCUGCAAGAAAGCACCGGCUAACUCCGUG
rnacentral:rRNA from 1 species